UUACGGCCAUAUCAUGUUGAAACACCUGUUCCCGCACGAUCACCGAUGUUAAGCAAAAUCGUGCCCGGUCAGUACCUACAUGGGUGACCGCUUGCGAAUACCAGGUGCUGUAA